UGGGGAAUUUUGGACAAUGGGCGAAAGCCUGAUCCAGCAAUGCCGCGUGUGUGAAGAAGGCCUUCGGGUUGUAAAGCACUUUUGUCCGGAAAGAAAUCCUUGGCUCUAAUACAGUCGGGGGAUGACGGUACCGGAAGAAUAAGCACCGGCUAACUACGUGCCAGCAGCCGCGGUAAUACGUAGGGUGCAAGCGUUAAUCGGAAUUACUGGGCGUAAAGCGUGCGCAGGCGGUUUGCUAAGACCGAUGUGAAAUCCCCGGGCUCAACCUGGGAACUGCAUUGGUGACUGGCAGGCUAGAGUAUGGCAGAGGGGGGUAGAAUUCCACGUGUAGCAGUGAAAUGCGUAGAGAUGUGGAGGAAUACCGAUGGCGAAGGCAGCCCCCUGGGCCAAUACUGACGCUCAUGCACGAAAGCGUGGGGAGCAAACAGGAUUAGAUACCCCUGGUAGUCCACGCCCUAAAACGAUGUCAACUAGUUGUUGGGGAUUCAUUUCCUUAGUAACGUAGCUAACGCGUGAAGUUGACCGCCUGGGGAGUACGGUCGCAAGAUUAAAACUUAAAUGAAUUGACGGGGUCAUAGCUGUUUCC
rnacentral:rRNA from 1 species